rnacentral:sRNA from 1 species
CCUCACUGCUUCUUUAUAGUACCACAUCUCUCGUGUUCUUAAUUGGAAUGUCGGAUUCGUAACAGUACCCACAUAAAAUUACCAUUGGCCCAAUGCACAUAUAGUGUUGCUGAAUUUGAGCUGUAUCAGUCACAUAUAAAAGGGUGAAAAGCUGUAGAGUGCAGUCAUCUGCUAUAGCUGCAACAGCAAUAUGCAUGCAUGUUGAUCAUAUUACAAAGGGUUUUUGUGCAAAUGAGGUUGCGUAAGAAACUAGAGAGUACAACACAACAACAGGGACCCACAAUUCAAAAUUCUUACUUGGAGUCACAAAGCUUUUCCUCCUUCCACAUCAUCCU